GACGUAGGGCGCGAGCGUUGUCCGGAUUUAUUGGGCGUAAAGAGCUCGUAGGCGGCUUGUCGCGUCGUCCGUGAAAACCUGCAGCUCAACUGCAGGCUUGCGGGCGAUACGGGCAGGCUAGAGUUCGGUAGGGGAGACUGGAAUUCCUGGUGUAGCGGUGAAAUGCGCAGAUAUCAGGAGGAACACCGGUGGCGAAGGCGGCAUCCUGGACCAAUUCUGACGCUGAGGAGCGAAAGCCAGGGGAGCAAACGGG
rnacentral:rRNA from 1 species